rnacentral:SRP_RNA from 1 species
UCGUGCUAGACGGGGAACCAGCGGUGCCCUGUAGCCCGCAAACCGCUACAGCGGGGUCGAAUCCCCACCCGAGGUUCCAGUCUUUCGGGCCUGUGUGGUGCUAAGCGGUGUUGAUGACUGGGUCCUGCGCGGCAGAAGCCUACAAACCCCGCCAGGUUCGGAAGGAAGCAACGGUAAGUAGUCCCUUCUGGGUGCCGCAGGGUAGCCUGGUCUGAGCUGGCUGGCGCUGGCACGCUGGAAGCUGCUAUCGGAGGUGGGUGCACGA